UAAGACUAUAGUCAAUACAAUGACGUGUGAGUUGCAAUCACAAAGAGCCCCCUAAAGCUAGUUUUAA
rnacentral:tRNA from 1 species